GCCUGGGUGGCUCAGUCGGUUGAGUGUCUGACUUCGACUCAGAUCACGAUCUCACAGUGCGUAAGUUUGAGCCCUGCGUCGGGCU
rnacentral:tRNA from 1 species